ACCCCUAUAAUCUUGCUAUACCACCAGAUCCUAGAUCCUAAAUUCAAAUUCAAUUCAACAAAAAAAAAAUCGCGUCUGUAUUUUAUCAAAUCGUUCUUCAUCUUAUUCCAGAUCAUCAAUCUGCAUACCAUAAUCAAAUUCAAAUUAAACCCCCACUUCUUCUCUCUCUCUAGAAGUUAAAAGAGACGACCUUUUUUUCUUUCGGUGAAUUGUUCUACACCUCCAUCUUUCCCAGUGAUUACAUAUUCAGGCGAUAUAUCAAGACGGAUGUAAUUGUAACCUACUUGAGGAGAGGUGGGCACCUAAGACGUUUGGAGCUUGAAGGUAUUCAAGAUGGACAUUGCGUGGGAGACUAUUGGUAAUUCUAUCGACUAUGGUAUACUCGCGAUGCACCAUAUGGAAACGUGGAAGGGGAUUACAGAAGAUAGAUGGUGUUGGGUUCCAACAGAACCAAAGAAAAUAAAAACCAGACUAACUUUUCUGGACCAUAUUUUGUGAUUUUGUUUUAAUUUAUAGUAUUCAAAUAUGUAUGAAAAAUCUUAUAGACUAUUUACUGUUUGUAGCGUCUUAUUAUUUCUAGGUUAUACUUGACAGUUGACUAUACAUAUGUGUACUGUUUUAUUAAGUUGUUUAUACAAAAGUACAUGUGUGUAUAAUACACUGGUUCGAGUUAUGUACACAUGUGCAGUGUAUUGACUUUUGUUAUAUUGACUUUUGUUAUACUUUUGCCAACUGAAA